UACAGAGGGUGCGAGCGUUAAUCGGAAUUACUGGGCGUAAAGCGUGCGUAGACGGUUAUGUAAGUCAGGUGUGAAAGCCCCGGGCUCAACCUGGGAACUGCAUCUGUGACUGCAUUGCUGGAGUGCGGCAGAGGGGGAUGGAAUUCCGCGUGUAGCAGUGAAAUGCGUAGAUAUGCGGAGGAACACCGAUGGCGAAGGCAAUCCCCUGGGCCUGCACUGACGCUCAUGCACGAAAGCGUGGGGAGCAAACAGG
rnacentral:rRNA from 1 species